UACGUAGGUGACCAGCGUUGUCCGGAUUUACUGGGCGUAAAGAGCGCGCAGGCGGUCGUUCAAGUCGAGUGUGAAAGCCCCCGGCUCAACUGGGGAGGGUCACUCGAUACUGAUCGACUUGAAGGCAGGAGAGGGAAGCGGAAUUCCCGGUGUAGUGGUGAAAUGCGUAGAUAUCGGGAGGAACACCAGUGGCGAAGGCGACUACCUGGCCUGUUCUUGACGCUGAGGCGCGAAAGCUAGGGGAGCGAACGGG
rnacentral:rRNA from 1 species